UGAAAUAUAGCCAAGUGGUAAUGUAUCAGUUUUUGGUACUGUCGUGCAAAGGUUCGAAUUCUUUUAACUCCA
rnacentral:tRNA from 1 species